AAACUUAUUUCCAAUUAGACAAGUUGAACGAGAUGAUAGAGGAGCACAUUACCGACGAGGAGUUCGCUGCGGAAUUUGAGGCGGUCAUGAGAUACCA
rnacentral:lncRNA from 1 species